UGGGGGAAUAUUGCACAAUGGGGGAAACCCGUACGAUGCAGCGACGCCGCGUGAGCGAAGAAGUAUUUCGGUAUGUAAAGCUCUAUCAGCAGGGAAGAAAAUAGACGGUACCUGACUAAGAAGCCCCGGCUAACUACGUGCCAGCAGCCGCGGUAAUACGUAGGGGCGAAGCGUUAUCCGGAUUUACUGGGUGUAAAGGGAGCGUAGACGGAAUGGCAAGUCUGAUGUGAAAAGGCCGGGGCUCAACCCCCGGGACUGCAUUGGAAACUGUCAAUCUGGAGUACCGGAGGGGUAAGUGGAAUUCCUAGUGUAGCGGUGAAAUGCGUAGAUAUUAGGAGGAACACCAGUGGCGAAGGCGGCUUACUGGACGGUAACUGACGUUGAGGCUCGAAAGCGUGGGGAGCA
rnacentral:rRNA from 1 species